GGCGAACGGGAGCGUAAAACGUGAGCAACCUACCCUUUGGUGGGGGACAGCCGGUCUAACGGCCGGAUAAUGCCGCGUAAGACGUUGAGAUCGCAUGGUUUCGACGUGAAAGGGGCCGCAAGGUCGCGCCACAGGAGGGGCUCGCGGCCUAUCAGCUUCUUGGUGAGGUAACGAGCUCACCAAGGCUGCGACGGGUAGCUGGUCUCAGAGGAUGGCCAGCCACAUUGCGACUGAGAUACGGCCCAGACUCCUACGGGAGGCAGCAGUACGGAAUAUUGCGCAAUGGCCGCAAGGCUGACGCAGCCACGCCGCGUGUGGGAUGAAGGCCUUCGGGUUGUAAAUCACUGUCAGGGGGGACGAAUACUCGGCCUCGAAUAGAGGACCGAGGGUGUCGAGUACCCCCAAAGGAAGCACCGGCUAACUCCGUGCCAGCAGCCGCGGUUAGACGGAGGGUGCAAGCGUUGUCCGGAAUUACUGGGCGUAAAGCGCGCGUAGGCGGCUGUUUAAGUCAUCAUGUGAAAGCCCGGGGCUCAACCCCGGGAUUGCAGGCGAAACAGGACAGCUAGAGCUCGGUAGAGGCGAGUGGAAUUCCCGGUGUAGCGGUGGCAUGCGUAGAUAUCGGGAAGAACACCAGUGCCGAAGGCGGCUCG
rnacentral:rRNA from 1 species